CCUUUAUAAGGUUUAUAUGUCAUAAAAGCUGGUUGGGCGGGGGGUUUAUGCCUCAAAAGAAGAGUUAUUUUGCUUUGCAACUCCUUAAAAGGUGGUGGGUAUUUGGUCUUGAUCUAGCACUCCUUGGUGAUAUUGAUGUAUACCAAUUCAUAUUCUUUUCAGAAGUAGUAAAGAACAAGAUGCAGGAAACUAAUGUAAUGAAUUUGUAGGAAGGAUCACUGUCACAUCAAUAUGACGGUUGAACUGGGAUAAAUGCAGCUUAAUUCUCUUGUCCAUAUUGGUUUCUUCUUGAGGUGAAGAUACAUAAAAUACUCAAUUCCAAUUCUAAAACAGUAAGUAUUUUGUUUUGCUAUCUGCAUAUCCUAAAACUGCAAGCAUUUUUG